rnacentral:rRNA from 1 species
GUUUGAUCCUGGCUCAGGACGAACGCUGGCGGCGUGCUUAACACAUGCAAGUCGAACGGGGUCCAACCAGUGGCAAUACUGGGGAAGACUUAGUGGCGAACGGGUGAGUAACACGUGAGCAACCUGCCCCGAAGACCGGGAUAACAGCGGGAAACCGCUGCUAAUACCGGAUGCCCCCACCGGGCCGCAUGACCUGGUGAGGAAAUGGACUCCGCUUCGGGAGGGACUCGCGGCCUAUCAGCUUGUUGGUGGGGUAAUGGCCUACCAAGGCGUCGACGGGUAGCUGGUCUGAGAGGACGAUCAGCCACACUGGGACUGAGACACGGCCCAGACUCCUACGGGAGGCAGCAGUGGGGAAUCUUGCGCAAUGGGCGAAAGCCUGACGCAGCAACGCCGCGUGAGGGACGACGGCCUUCGGGUUGUAAACCUCUUUCAGCAGGGACGAUUGUGACGGUACCUGCAGAAGAAGCCCCGGCCAACUACGUGCCAGCAGCCGCGGUAAUACGUAGGGGGCGAGCGUUGUCCGGAUUCAUUGGGCGUAAAGAGCUCGUAGGCGGCUUGGUAAGUCGGGUGUGAAACCUCCAGGCUCAACCUGGAGACGCCACUCGAUACUGCCAUGGCUAGAGUCCGGUAGGGGCCCACGGAAUUCCUGGUGUAGCGGUGAAAUGCGCAGAUAUCAGGAGGAACACCGGUGGCGAAGGCGGUGGGCUGGGCCGGAACUGACGCUGAGGAGCGAAAGCGUGGGGAGCGAACAGGAUUAGAUACCCUGGUAGUCCACGCCGUANACGUUGGGCACUAGGUGUGGGACCUUAUCAACGGGUUCCGUGCCGUAGCUAACGCAUUAAGUGCCCCGCCUGGGGAGUACGGCCGCAAGGCUAAAACUCAAAGGAAUUGACGGGGG